GUCACAGACACAGGAUGGGCAGUACAGUUCAGUCAGCAAGGGGAUCUGUUAAGGCUGAGGAACAUCUAUGCAUGAAUCAUUUGGGGUCAGAGCUUGUUCAAGAAACUCUUACUGCUUAGCAUCUCCUCAACUAGUCUGACUCACUUGGCAUUGUGACUGUAUGCAAGAAGAGACCUGUGGAAUGGUUUUUUAGCCAGUUUCCUGAAGUACCUUGUUUGUUUUUGAUUGGACUAUUUCCCUUACUUGUAUGGCACAACUGAAUGAGCAUAGCCAAGAGACCAGUCCCACUGCUGAGGAGUGACUGUGGGGGAAGAGGCGAGGAGAGUGCUGACUUGGCCUGGGCACUCCAGCAACAUGAAGUGUUGCAACAUGAAGGGUUUUUUCUCGAUGUUCACUCCCGGCUUAGCCCCUGUGCAGCAGUUCCUUCAUCAGGUGCCUGUUAACUGCGAUGGGGGACAGCUCAGAGACCAUCAGUGAAACAAUAGCAGAGUUGAAUGAGUAUAAUUACUGACAGAAUUCCACUCUGCGGUUUUGAAGUAAUGGCCUCAGCCAAAUGUAAGGGCAUAAUAUCUGACCAGGAAGAUCAGUUGGUUAUCCUACGUACAGAAUGAGUUCGCAUCUUGUGUCAUGGUUUUAUGAUUUUUGGUCAUCAGUAUUCCACAUCACAACAUCAUGCAGUGUACUGGGAGUUAAAGAGCAAAUGCUUUAGUUCCGGGUACCUGUCUGGAAGAGAAGAAGAACUACGUUCCGCAAGAGCCUUUUUGAGUACUGUUAUCAUUCCUGCUCAGGGGAACAGAUAUAAGGACGCAGGUCAUCUGACUCGUCCCUCUUCUUGUCUUGCCAUGUUCCCUGCCAGAUCAGCUCGCUACUGCUGCUCCCGACUGCACGCAAGGCUUCAGUAUUAGCGUAAGGCCUUUGGCUGUUGGACAAUCUUUCUCUCAAUUAUUGUUGUUUUAUAUUGUAUUAUAGUGUGUUAUCUUACAUUCCGAUACUAUAUUUAGUAAAUUAGUUUGUUUCUCC
ensembl:lncRNA